AUUUAUCUGAAAGACCCCCGGAGUAGGGAGACCCUUACUCAAGUCUCGGGAUGAUGCGACCCCCACCCAAGAACUCACACAAGACC
rnacentral:pre_miRNA from 14 species